rnacentral:rRNA from 1 species
GGCUCAGAUUGAACGCUGGCGGAAUGCUUUACACAUGCAAGUCGAACGGUAGAGGGGGCAACCCCUCGAGAGUGGCGAACGGGUGAGUAAUAUAUCGGAACGUGCCCAGUCGUGGGGGAUAACGUAGCGAAAGUUACGCUAAUACCGCAUACGAUCUAUGGAUGAAAGCGGGGGACCGAAAGGCCUCGCGCGAUUGGAGCGGCCGAUGUCAGAUUAGGUAGUUGGUGGGGUAAAGGCUCACCAAGCCGACGAUCUGUAGCUGGUCUGAGAGGACGACCAGCCACACUGGAACUGAGACACGGUCCAGACUCCUACGGGAGGCAGCAGUGGGGAAUAUUGGACAAUGGGCGCAAGCCUGAUCCAGCCAUGCCGCGUGUGUGAAGAAGGCCUUCGGGUUGUAAAGCACUUUCAGCGAGGAGGAAGAGUUGUGUGUUAAUAGUACACAGCUUUGACGUUACUCGCAGAAGAAGCACCGGCUAACUCUGUG